AUUGAACGCUGGCGGCAUGCUUUACACAUGCAAGUCGAACGGGGUGGUGGGGCAACCCGCCAUUCAGUGGCGAACGGGUGAGUAAUACAUCGGAACGUGUCCCGUAGUGGGGGAUAACCCGGCGAAAGCCGGACUAAUACCGCAUAUGCUCUACGGAGGAAAGCGGGGGACCUGAAAGGGCCUCGCGCUAUGGGAGCGGCCGAUGUCCGAUUAGCUUGUUGGUGGGGUAAUGGCCUACCAAGGCGACGAUCGGUAGCUGGUCUGAGAGGAUGAUCAGCCACACUGGGACUGAGACACGGCCCAGACUCCUACGGGAGGCAGCAGUGGGGAAUUUUGGACAAUGGGGGCAACCCUGAUCCAGCCAUGCCGCGUGCGGGAAGAAGGCCU
rnacentral:rRNA from 1 species